rnacentral:rRNA from 2 species
UGGGGAAUAUUGCACAAUGGGGGAAACCCUGAUGCAGCGACGCCGCGUGAACGAAGAAGGUAUUCGUAUCGUAAAGUUCUGUCCUAUGGGAAGAUAAUGACAGUACCAUAGAAGAAAGCUCCGGCUAAAUACGUGCCAGCAGCCGCGGUAAUACGUAUGGAGCGAGCGUUGUCCGGAAUUAUUGGGCGUAAAGGGUACGCAGGCGGUUUAAUAAGUCGAAUGUUAAAGAUCGGGGCUCAACCCCGUAAAGCAUUGGAAACUGAUAAACUUGAGUAGUGGAGAGGAAAGUGGAAUUCCUAGUGUAGUGGUGAAAUACGUAGAUAUUAGGAGGAAUACCAGUAGCGAAGGCGACUUUCUGGACACAAACUGACGCUGAGGUACAAAAGCGUGGGGAGCAAACAGG